UAUGUGAUCGUCUCUCGCAUAUCAAUAAGCGGAGGAAAAGAAACUAACAAGGAUUCCCCUAGUAACGGCGAGUGAAGCGGGAAGAGCUCAAAUUUGAAAUCUUAAAGGGUUUCCCUUUACGAAUUGUAGUUUAAAGAAGUGUUUUCUGUUGAGGUUUUGGUAAAAGUUCUUUGGAAAUAGGACAUCAUAGAGGGUGAGAACCCCGUAUUUGACCUUUACUUUCAACUUUGUGAUACACUUUCAAAGAGUCGGAUUGUUUGGGAAUGCAGUCCAAAAUGGGUGGUAAAUUUCAUCUAAAGCUAAAUAUUGGCGAGAGACCGAUAGCGAACAAGUACCGUGAGGGAAAGAUGAAAAGAACUUUGAAAAGAGAGUUAAACAGUACGUGAAAUUGUCAAAAGGGAAGCGUUUGACACCAGUGUUGUUUUUCUGAAAAUCAAUUAAAGAACUGUUUAUGCUAAGUUGUUUAGACUUUAUCAGCUAUCUGCUUAGUUUUGAGCUUUUCUUUAAUGCACUUUUCAGUUAACAAGUCAACAUCAAUUUCUUUUGCUGUAAAAAAGCUUGAGGAAGGUGGCUUGAGAUUCGUCUUAAGUGUUUUAUAGCCUCUUGCCUAUGCAGUCGGAGAGAUUGAGGUCUGCAGCGUAGAUCCUUCGGGGCUAAAUGCAUUUGUGCUAAGUUAUAGCAUUUUAUAGACAACUUGUUGACUAUGAUUUGUCUUGUAGCUUACUCGCUUAUGUUAUUUUACCUACGCUUAGGAUGUUGAUCUGUAGUGCGUGCGC
rnacentral:rRNA from 1 species